GGGCAGCUAGGGAAGCGUUAGGGGCACACUUGGACAAGGACUUAGGGGCAAGAUUUGCAGAAUGUUUCUUAUUGGCCGUAUACUCACCCGCACACACGGACAAGCCGCCAGACGUGUGUGUGUGCGUGUCGGCAUUACUGGAGAUGUUGCUCGGCGGGGUGCGGAGCGCGGAGGGGUUUAAGGAAAUACGGCUGAGAGAGGAGCCGCUACCAGUCAAGGAGGAACCAGGGUCGAGAUUACUGACGCUCAGCAAAACGUUCCAAGGCACGUUCGGGAGCUACACCGCGACGAGAGGACGGACACGCACUCGAGGCAAUUCCAGUACUGCAAGAUCAG